CUCUUCCUGUGACCCCCGAGGUCUCUGGGGUCUCUGCUGUAAUCCAGAAUUACAGUAGCAGGACUCUACAGGGUUACUCAUCACUUCUUCCUGCUUCCAGGUGCCUCUGGAAUUUAUAGUCCACAUUUGCAGCCAGCGACAUAAAGAGACCAUGUGGGACAGAGAACCAUGACAACCCCUCAAAUGGGCCAUUGGAGGCAUAUCACUGGGAAACAGGUUUCUCAGGCAUUGUACGUUGAGUCCCAGUGACAAACAUCCAGAGUCAUGACUAAAACUCCACAAUGAUUUUAGUUUAAAGGUUCUGGGUCCAUGCCAGUCUCAUAGUCGCUGUGGUUUCACAUAGGACAUGCGGUUUCAGAAGACCAUACUUUUUGAGAAUAACUGAUUUUACAAUGGAAUGAAACUGUAUCUUGGAUGUAGUGACAUCUUCCUUGGAACUUAGAAAUAACCUACACUGGCUGUCCUCCAUGACGCCAAGCUACAGAGGGGCUGAGCUGGUCCAUUCAAAUUACAACCACCUUCUGGAAGUCAUCACUUAUACACAAGUAUGGCAGUCAGGUCCAAGGAUCUUAUGACAAGGGGUGCAGAUUACCUUGACAUACAUUAAAUGUUUCUCUAAUACACUUAUUGAUUUUUAUGAGUAGUUCAAAUCACUUUUGGUUUAUCACCUAUUUUCAUUUUAAGUGCGGUCCUCUGUGCAGGGCUCAGCUACAGAAGGAUAAUGCUAGUCUAUUCAUCAGGUAAUUUCAUAGGGCUCUGUCAUAGACUUCACUUUUAAGCACAACCCUAUUAAGGGACAUAUCAGUUAUACAG